CUGGCCAAUGGGGUGUCAGGGAAAGUUUGACGGGCAGCAAGGGCGGUCACGUGACCCAGCUCUGGCCAAUGAGGUGUAAAGGGGACGUGUGCUGCGUGCUGUCUUUAAGAGGAGGAUGUGCGGCCGUCUGGCCUGAGAGUUCUGCCCGGAUGGCAGCGGCAGCCGCCUUGUGACCAUAAAGGGAAAGAAAGCCAAGUGGAUUGUAGAGCCCUUGAGCUGAUCAGAGACGGGAUGGGACUCAGCAAAGUCCUAGAGCCAGAAAACAAAGGUAGAGAAGCAGGUGAACACCAGGUGAGAUGCACUCACGUCCGUUGUCUGCGUUUGAUUGCACGACGUCGUGGAGAGAGAAGUUGGCCUGCAUGGAGAGCAUACACAUGAAUCUCGGAGCCACCUGCAGUCACUGUGGCAAGGCCGUCCCUCAGCCAGCUGUCUUCAUUGCCUGAGAGAGCUUCUGACCUCCAGUUGCAGCAUGAUCUAGUGAUUUGGUUUGUGGGUGAGCACAGACACCUUUUAAAGAAGUACCUAUGGUUGUGUAUCAGGCAGGAAAUAAAGUCCUUUCUACCAUAGAAGGCUGGCAUGUUACAGAGCAAAAGUGUUUGUCACUCUGCUUAUGGAAACGCAGAGUAAUCGUUUAAAUAUUUCUUUAAAAGAAUGACGAGGGGCGCCUGGGUGAUGCAGUUGGUUAAGUGUCUGACUUCGGCUCAGGUCACGAUCUCACGGUUCAUGAGUUCAACCCCACAGCGGGCUCUCUGCUGUCGGCACAG